UCUCGCUCCAUCUCUUCACUUCUGCAUUCACCACCCUCUCUCUCCUCUCAAAGCCUCUCUCUUUAAAACUCCAUUGCCAAACUUCAAAGCUACAUGCAACUCACCCGUUCCACCGUCUCCAAUGCCCGCUCAAUAACUCUGCUCCGAUUAAAAGCAUUGUAUGACUCUGGUGAACACGAUUCUAAUGUCCAUUUCUCUUCCCCGACAAGAACCUCCGAAAGUACUACAUUCCCAGGAUCGACCUGCAAAGGCUUUUGGACUUGCCUAUCAACAUCCACAAAGCCUCUUUUCUCUUGGACUACACAACAACGUACAAGUCCCCACUCCUUGACCUCUCGUUGAGAAGCAAGAGUCCUCCAUCUGCCAUCUGCCAGCACACCAACUGCUUCAUCAAGAGCAGAUUAGGGAUCAACAUCAUAUCCAACCAACCAACCGUCAACAUCGGCUUCUUCACAACACAUCCCAUCUUUCGAGCACCGAUGCCGCUGACAUCCCUUAAACACUUCCGCAAGUAGAACUAGAAGCAAGAAAUGCUGAGGCUCCAACUUGCCAGUGCAUGAUCUUGAAAAUUUGCCCAUUGCACUUCGCACCUUCAAACUUGGGACCAGAGUCACCAUCGCCACCACUUCCGAAGAGAUGGGUCGCAAACUUGCCAUUGCAAAGGAUCUUCUUUUCGAUCUUUCCAGCAUCGUCACUAUCCACUUCUCACCAUCCCUUCUAACAAUCGAGAAGCCGAAUGAGUGAAAAAGGCCAAAGCCAAGGCCAAAGUCACCGCCUCCCCUUUUUUUUAAGAGAAAGAUCCUGAGGACUCUAUCUGCAUCUCAAAACUGGCUGAAACCGAGAACAGGCCAAUGUUGGGAUCUGCUAAAGCCCCUAAUGCAAAGAGGUUUCGUGCUUUCAGGUUCAAGAUCAUCGACGAUGACACAUGGUGCCUCGAGUUCAUUGUCAACGAUAGACCACUCAAGGUCGGGGAUAUUACCCAGAAGCAUCCCGAAGUCGUUGUUACAUGCUUUACUGUCAUCCUCCUUUCGACCAUUAUAAACAACAUCGGUAGCUUAAUGAGUUUGAUGAUUUUACAAUAAUGAUGCGCAGCUCUGUCACGCCGAUCCAACAUGCCCACUCAUUCCUAAUUCAUCAUGAGUUGAUGAUGAAAGACCUCACCAAGAAAACUCAAGAAGCCGCCAACCUCCUUGAAUAGCUAAACCAGGCUGAGGGCUUAGUAAAAAAGCACAUGGACAAGACCUAAAUCGCGAACAGAGUUGCUGAGAAGGUGGAGGCUUUAGCUAAAGAAGCUGAGACAAAGGCUAACUUGGCCAUACAACAGCUGGCCGAGGCCCUGGCAAGAAAGGACAAGGAGAUCAAAAAGGCCUUAGGCAGAUGUCUGAGAUUAGUACCGCAAGCAAGUGAGCCAGGCCUAUAAUAGAGGUUAUCAACUCGAUUGGGUUGUAUUGCUAAAGAAGCUUAACCUUUUCAAGGAAUCACCACUUCAGGAUCUCACACAAUUGACUCUGCCUUUCCUUCAUGUGCCUACCCAGCCCGAAGAGGGUGAGAAAGAUGAAGAAGAAGGAAGCAAAGAUGAAACUGACACUACUAGAGCUAAGUUUUCCACCCUGAAUGAUCAAGUCCUAGACCUGACCAGUGAAGAUGAAAACGAAGUCUCCAAGAGUUUUUCAUCAAAGAAGGCCUUCUCGAGGCCGAAAAAAGCCUUGAAGACACUCUGAAGGAACUUGACCAAGAAAUCGUGGCCGACGCGGAGGCUGAGAAAGAUACCACUUUACCCACUGAGGCCGACACACCGCCAAUCACUGAAGUGGGGCAGACUGAGAACAUUGCCCCAUAUCUAGCACUUAAGAUCUUUUUCUUCUUUCUAUUGUAUUUCUUUCUUUUCAAUUUUUCUUUGAAUUAGUUUGUUUUUUACGAGGCCGAAGUGCCUUCUCAUGCACGGAAUCAAGUUCCUCUUUUCUAAAUACAUAGCUGUUUUUGACUAAGUGUUGGGUGUUCGUUACUUUAUACUGCU